GACGAACCGUGCGAACGUUGUUCGGAAUCACUGGGCUUAAAGGGCGCGUAGGCGGUUGAUCAAGUCUGGGGUGAAAUCUUUCGGCUUAACCGGAAAAGUGCCUUGGAUACUGGUCAGCUGGAGGGAGGUAGGGGCAGUUGGAACUUCCAGUGGAGCGGUGAAAUGCGUUGAUAUUGGAAGGAACGCCGGUGGCGAAGCGGUCUGCUGGGCAGUUGCUGACACUGAGGCGCGACAGCGUGGGGAGCAAACAGG
rnacentral:rRNA from 1 species